rnacentral:RNase_P_RNA from 1 species
GGCACAGGCCGGAUGGCCGCCCCGCACCUUUUUAAUAUUUGUCGACUUAAGAAAGAGUACAAUUCUUAAGCUUUCUGAAUACUAAAAAGGUGCGGGGAGGAAAGUCCGGGCUCCAGAGGGCAGCGUAGCGGGUAAUUCCCGUCCCCCGCACCUUUUUAGUAUUCACAAAGCUAAUAGCCGUGUAUCUUUUAGACUUCCUGAAUACAUAAAAGGUGCGGGGCGGAUUAGAGCCACAGAGACGAGUCCCGCACCUUUUUAGUAGGUGCGGGGGGUGAAACGCGGCAAUCUCUACGCGGAGCAAAACCAAAUAGGCCUCGCUGAUAAGAAUGGCCCGUUCGGCGAAUGCGAGGCGGGUAGGUCGCAUUAACCUGACAGCAAUGUCAGGCAAUAGAUAGAUGGCCGUCACCCCGCACCUUUUUUAUAUUCAAUCUACGUCUUCAAUAGUUUGAAUACUAAAAAGGUGCGGGGACAGAACCCGGCUUACAGGCCUGUGCCUUUA